ensembl:snoRNA small nucleolar RNA, H/ACA box 27
UUCCCCUCUUUCACUUUGCCAGUCAGACAUCUCGUCUUCAUUGGUCAUUCAAGGGGGGUAAAACAAAUGUCCUUUUAAAACCCAGGUAAACAAGUAUUGUUUAACUUGGAUCCUGUCAGAGGAAACAGCU